rnacentral:ncRNA from 1 species
GAAGAGGUGCCCGAAAAUCUUUGAAAGAGUAGGGA